rnacentral:rRNA from 1 species
GACGUAGGGCGCGAGCGUUGUCCGGAUUUAUUGGGCGUAAAGAGCUCGUAGGCGGCUUGUCGCGUCGACUGUGAAAACCCAUGGCUCAACCAUGUGGUCUGCAGUCGAUACGGGCAGGCUAGAAUUCGGUAGGGGAGACUGGAAUUCCUGGUGUAGCGGUGAAAUGCGCAGAUAUCAGGAGGAACACCGGUGGCGAAGGCGGGUCUCUGGGCCGAUAUUGACGCUGAGGAGCGAAAGCCAGGGGAGCAAACGGG